GAUGAACGCUGGCGGCGUGCCUAAUACAUGCAAGUCGAGCGAACAGAUAAGGAGCUUGCUCCUUUGACGUUAGCGGCGGACGGGUGAGUAACACGUGGGUAACCUACCUAUAAGACUGGAAUAACUCCGGGAAACCGGGGCUAAUGCCGGAUAACAUUUAGAACCGCAUGGUUCUAAAGUGAAAGAUGGUUUUACUAUCACUUAUAGAUGGACCCGCGCCGUAUUAGCUAGUUGGUAAGGUAACGGCUUACCAAGGCAACGAUACGUAGCCGACCUGAGAGGGAGAGCGGCCACACUGGAACUGAGACGCGGUACAGACUCAUACGAGGGGCCGGAGUAGGGAAUCUUCCGAAAUGGGCAAACGCGUCACAGCGAAACGCCGCGAGUGAUGAAGGUCUUCGGAUCGUAAAACUCUGUUAUUAGGGAAGAACAAAUGUGUAAGUAACUGUGCACGUCUUGACGGUACCUAAUCAGAAAGCCACGGCUAACUACGUG
rnacentral:rRNA from 1 species